ensembl:lncRNA
CUCGUGAGUAGGAUGAGCUAAUAUAAUAAAAAUAACAAUCCUACCUAAAGUAAUUUACUUAUUCAGUACCAUCAAAUACCACUAAAGCUACCCCCCAAAAAAAUUAUAGAACUAGAAAAAAUAAUAACAACAUUCAUCCAGAAGAACAAAAGGUGAAUAAUAUCAACAGAACUAAUGAAAAAAAACAUGUUAAGGAUGGUGGCCUGGAAGUAACAUAUCACAAACUGUACUAUAACUCAUCAAUCAUCCAAACAAUCUGAUAUUGGCUAAAAUAAAGAAGGGUGGACAAAUGGAAUAGAUUAGUCAUAAAAGACAUUUGCAAGCUAGUGUUUGAUAAACCCCAAAAUGUCAGAUUUUGGGAUAAGAACUGUUGCAAUGUAAUGCUUAAUGCAUAAGAAUGAUUGGCAGGCAGAGAAUCUUCAGAGCUGGCAGGGGAAAGGUUCCAAACUGUUGAGGAGACUGUUGGGCCUCAUUUGGGGGUUUGCAGUCGACAUAGAAGCUGAAAGUUGCUGAUCUGUGCUCCUGUGGACGUCUCUGAAUCAUCCUGCAAGCAGCCCUCUGGACAAGAGUGGAUAGGAGUAUCCUAAUUACUGUUGGGUGGACCAAGGGAAAGACUGGGAACUUCAGCCAUUCUCUAGACCAUCUAGGAUUCCUCAUCUGGACUCCAACCUCUACUUCCUAAAACACUCCAUAUGUAAGAUCUCUGUAAUUUGUUGGACUGGCCCUUAAGAGUUUAGGAUGAGAUAAGCCAAAAUAGGUGGCAGCACCAACUCAAGUGCUUAUGUUUUGAACAAGGUCAGAAGGUCUAUGGUUUAAAGCUAUUUUGGGUUGCCAGGAGACAAACCCUGAAAUGCCAGAUUCUGGCAGAAGAACUAAGCUAUCUUGACAUUUUUAUUUAAAGAAAAAGAAUGCCAUGACACUUUUUGUGAUCAUCCUUUCAGGGACAUCUCAGGCUGAGGAACUACAAGUUUUCAGUGUUCCCAAAGUCAUCUUGUCAAGGACAAUGAGGAAUCCUACUCAUGGGGAGAGUGUCCUCAUAGGGGCAUGGAUGCCAUUUAGGGGCAGGUAUUGCUACCUUAGGACCAAGAGCUGGAGUGUGUUAAUGGGCUCCUUUACAAAGCCACAAUUCUAUUAAUGAUACGAGGACCAAAGGUCAGCAAAAUGACGAGGAUGAAGAGGGGACCCAAUAAAGUGGAAGUGAAGGUUGUCA